rnacentral:rRNA from 1 species
UACGUAGGGGGCAAGCGUUGUCCGGAUUUAUUGGGCGUGAAGAGCGUGUAGGCGGCCAGGUAGGUCCGCUGUGAAAACUCGAGGCUCAACCUCGAGACGUCGGUUGAAACCGUUUGGCUAGAGUCCGGAAGAGGAGAGUGGAAUUCCCGGUGUAGCGGUGAAAUGCGCAGAUAUCGGGAAGAACACCCGUGGCGAAGGCGGCUCUCUGGGACGGUACUGACGCUGAGACGCGAAAGCGUGGGGAGCGAACAGG